rnacentral:misc_RNA from 1 species
GAAAUGCGAUAAGUAGUGUGAAUUGCAGAAUUUAGCGAAUCAUCGAAUCUUUGAACGCACAUUGCGCCCCUUGGUAUUCCAUGGGGCAUGCCUGUUCGAGCGUCAUUUCAACCCUCAAGCACUGCUUGGUGUUGGGCGUUUGUCCCGCCUACGCGCGUGGACUCGCCUCAAAGUCAUUGGCGGCUGUUCCCCUUGGCUCGUAAGCGCAGCACAGUCGGCGCCCGGAGCUCUGGUGGGAUGGCGUCCAGCAAGCUAUAUUUUCAGGCUUGACCUCGGAUCAGGUAGGGAUACCCGCUGAACUUAAGC